GUUUUGUGAGAUUUCAUUGUGCUGUGGCCAACCCGUCGGCUCCGACCAACCCAACCUGAAAGGAAUAAUUGGUUUUUCAGACGGUUUUCCCUGCUACACGGUUCGGUUGCAAGUUGGGAAAAUAGCUACCCGACAUGAUCGGGUCGGGUGACGGGUUCGGCCCGAACCGGACCCAACCCGUGUUCACCCCUACUACUAAGCAAGCAAGUUCGACUUGCGACCGAGUGAAAAAGAGCUGCAACUUAAAUUCAGAUUCCCAGCCAACUCGUCUACCACCUUGGUUGGCCAUUACACCUAGUCCAGAUUCCAGAACCUUUCCCCCAUAUAUCUAAGAGAGAUCUCACAUUCAUAAACCGGCCUCAGUUUUUACUGGUAUAUCCCAAAAUCUAGGUGUUUCUUACUAUACCAUAUUUGUUACUUCAACCCGAAAUCUCUUUUCCACUAAACAAAUUAUUUGCCAUUGUAGACACAUGUUCUUUACGCAUGAUAUUUACACAAAUCUUCAACGAGAUCUCGUAAUUAUAGUUGUAUUGUCAUUUCAGAAGAUAAUAGGAGAAUCGAAUCUAAUUCAAUGGUACGUGAAAUACAGAUGUAGCAAGAUGGGUCAAACAGAGGAGAGCAACAUAGAUCCAACUCAAUACUAUUAGUUGAAGGCGGCUACAGGUUUCAGUUUCCUCUUGCUUGCACUGUCAACGCUCUAAUACCAAGCAAAUGGACUCCCAAGUGUGCAAAGCGGUUCAGGUAAAGACACAAGCAUGACAAGCCCUACUGAUAAUAUUAUUCAAAUGUAAUGGAGGAA